rnacentral:rRNA from 1 species
GUUGACCUCGAAUCAGGUAGGAAUACCCGCUGAACUUA